rnacentral:misc_RNA from 1 species
GAAGAAUGGAAGUGGCAGCCAAAGAAGCAUUUACCUUCCAAUCUUAGUUGUAUCUUCUGUCUUUCUAUUUGGAUAUUUUCUGUUUAAUGAACAUGUGAAUUUCAUCUCACUUCCAUUUCCAAGACUUAAAGAGCCUUUACGAGAACCAGUUUCCAACUCCAGCAAUCCAUUAGUUCAAGAAAAUGCCAAGAUUGUGGAUAAUGAAGAACCCCAAAUGGAGGGUAGUACUGCAGAUCUUGAAAAAUCGGCCAAGGUGAUUCAAGAACAGGAAAGUAUGGAACUGCUAAAUCUUGAAGAAGCAGAUGAAGAUGUUGUGGUUCCACCAGAAGAUUGUAAUAUCUUCAUAGGAGAGUGGGUUCUUGAUAACUUGACUCAUCCUCUAUACAAAGAAGAUGAAUGUGAGUUUCUUUCAGAGGAAGUGACUUGCCUCAGAAAUGGAAGGAUGGAUUCUCUGUACCAGAACUGGAGAUGGCAACCUAGAUAUUGUCAUUUGCCGAAGUAAGUAUAUAAUAUAGCCUUGAAAGUGAUAUCAGUAGUACCGAAUUAGAACUCAUUUAGAGUAUACAGUUAACUUUUAAUAUUCUAAUGUAUUAAUUAUAUUUAGUAUAUGGUUUUAUAUUAACUAUUCUAAGGUUCAAAGCAAAGUAUUUGCUGAAUAAGCUUCAAGGAAAGAGGCUAAUGUUUGUUGGAGAUUCACUGCAACAUCAACAAUGGCAGUCUUUGAUCUGUCUGGUUCAGUCUGCCAUUCCUCCACACAAGAAGAGCUUAAUGAGCUAUUCAAUUUCUCUCACUGUCUUCAAAAUGGAGGUCAAUCUUUCAUAAUUUCUUACUUUUAAUUCAGGUCUUGAUAUGCACACAUGGAUUCAAGUUAAUCCUUUAUUACACGGUUUGUGAAAAUUAAAUUGCAUAUAUUAUUCAUUACAGUCAAUAUUAAUUUAAAUAUUGGAAUAUUUUUUAACUUUUUUCCAGGAAUAUAAUGCCACCAUAGAGUUUUAUUGGGCACCAUUCUUGGUGGAGUCCAAUUCAGACGAUUUAUCAAAUAGAAAUGGCCAAUCAGAUCGUAUAAUUUUUCCAGAAUCAAUCUCUAAACAUGGUGAUAACUGGAAGAAUGUUGAUUACCUUAUAUUUGACAACUAUAUUUGGUGGAUGAACUCUCCUUACACCAAAGUAUCGUAAGUAUAUAUUCACCACUUUGCUUUUAUAUAUAUUCUAAUUUUCUAUUUUCAAUUUCAAUUUAAUAUAUAUAUAUAUAUGAGUAUGUGCACACACGAUCACAUCAAUUAUUGAAUAUAAAAUUUCAUUUUAUGCAUAUGAGCCUUCUAAAUUAUUGUAUUUUUUUUAUAAGUAUUAGGCUAUUAGCGUGCGUCUGUUGUAAGUGAUGUAAUUGAGAAGAGAAUUUUCAUUUUUAUAAAUAUGAUUGAUAGUUUUAAUAAGAAUGAUCAAGAGGUUGAUUAUUUUUUCUAAUGGAGUUGAAGGAAAAAACGAGGACCGUUGGAUGAAGGGGCAAUAGCAGAGUAUGAUGAAAUUGAAUUGCCAAUAGCAUAUGAGAGAGCUUUGAGGACUUGGGCUAAAUGGGUGGAAAAAAAUGUUAAUCCAAACAAAACUUCUGUUUUCUUCAACAGCAUGUCUCCUACUCAUAUCAAGUAAGAAAAUCUACUUCUAAGCUUCAUGGUGUCUCACAAUGGUUUAGGGUAUGGCAUUUGAACUAAAUAUAAAAUUUAGGCAAAUUUCCUCUCUUUAAACUAGUUUUGGAGUAGACACGGUCUUUUCUUUUUUUUGCAUGUUAUUAAAAUUUAUCCCAUAAAUUUUAUACUCCAAAUGUUCACGUCUUGACGUGAGAGGUUGAAUUGCUUGAGCUUACUUUUGAAGCGGAGUUGUUAAUCCAUGUUUUGAUUUUAUUUGAUUGCAAAGUUGAAAUUUACCAUGUAAAUGAAAUGGCAAAUAGGAGCUUGGAUUGGAACGAUCCUGAUGGGAUCAAAUGUGCCAAUGAGACUACCCCAACUCUUAACAUGACCAAGCCAUUGGAAGUGGGCACAAACCACCAGCUUUUUGAGAUUGUAGUGAAUGUGACUCAAUCCAUGAAACUACCUGUCUACUUCCUCAAUGUAACUACACUAUCUGAAUACCGGAAAGAUGCGCAUACCUCUAUUUAUACAGCGGUUGAUGGCAAGGUACUCUCGCCGCAGCAGAAGUCCGAUCCAGCCAAAUAUGCUGAUUGUCUUCAUUGGUGUCUUCCAGGAUUGCCUGAUACAUGGAAUGAAUUGCUCUAUACUCGUAUCAUCUCUAAUUCUUGAUUAAUAGAACUUUUGUGUCUUUUUUCAAGAUUUACACAGGAAAAGAGUUUAAUUAAUGAUAUGGAAUUUUUGUGUACCUCCAAUGUGGAUGGAAUAUAUCUAUAUUUUGAAGUGAAAACUUGUGAUCGAUGACUAUAAGUUAAAUAUUGUUUUAUUCUUUUAAAAUUAUAUCAUCAGUUUUACUCUUAUCCUCUUAAUCUUCACUUGCCUAAUAGCAAUUGCCAUUCCAAAUAUAUGGUGUUUCUUUCAGUCUGUGGGAUCAACCUCUGCAGUCUCUUGCCUAUCUUUCCAGGAGCUAUUCUGCUAAGGUGCUAAUCUCCAUCAGCAAUGCAUCUGUUUUGCAUAAUCUGAUUCAUUUUUUCCCCUCUCAUGAAUGCCAGGGAUGCUCACAGGAUAUCUACAGCAAAGGAUAGUAUCAUAGCUCCAAUAAUGAUCAAUCUUGCUAUAUACUGCACCAAGUUUUGGAUAUAAUUUUGCAGGAUAUCCUGCAAUGAGGCUACAAGGAGGAUCCCUCUUACGAUAUGGGGUAAGAAUCUUGGGGUCAGCAAUCGUCUGAAUAGCCCCCAUCUGUAUUUUUAAUCAAGAUAUGAUAAUUAAGCUACCAAUUCCAUCUGUUCAUCACAGCAACAGGAAAAGCUGAAUCUGCUGCAUUUCACAUGCUAAUUUUUGCUGAUGAUGAAGUUUCAAAUGUAUGCAUACAGAUUAUGAUUUCAUAAUCAAGAUUAUCCUGAA